AUUGAACGCUGGCGGCAGGCUUAACACAUGCAAGUCGAGCGGGGGAAGGUAGCUUGCUACUGGACCUAGCGGCGGACGGGUGAGUAAUGCUUAGGAAUCUGCCUAUUAGUGGGGGACAACAUCUCGAAAGGGAUGCUAAUACCGCAUACGUCCUACGGGAGAAAGCAGGGGAUCUUCGGACCUUGCGCUAAUAGAUGAGCCUAAGUCGGAUUAGCUUGUUGGUAGGGUAAAGGCCUACCAAGGCAACGAUCCAUAGCUGGUCUGAGAGGAUGAUCAGCCACACUGGGACUGAGACACGGCCCAGACUCCUACGGGAGGCAGCAGUGGGGAAUAUUGGACAAUGGGCGCAAGCCUGAUCCAGCAACGCCGUGUGUGUGAAGAAGGCCUUCGGGUUGUAAAGCACUUUUAGUUGGGAAGAAAAGCUCAAGACUAAUACCCUUGAGUGAUGACGUUACCAACAGAAAAAGCACUGGCUAACUCUGUGCCAGCCGCCGCAGUAA
rnacentral:rRNA from 1 species